AACGAACGCUGGCGGCAUGCCUAACACAUGCAAGUCGAACGAGACCUUCGGGUCUAGUGGCGCACGGGUGCGUAACGCGUGGGUAUCUGCCCUUGGGUUCGGAAUAACAGUGAGAAAUUACUGCUAAUACCGGAUGAUGUCUUCGGACCAAAGAUUUAUCGCCCAGGGAUGAGCCCGCGUAGGAUUAGCUAGUUGGUGGGGUAAUGGCCUACCAAGGCGACGAUCCUUAGCUGGUCUGAGAGGAUGAUCAGCCACACUGGGACUGAGACACGGCCCAGACUCCUACGGGAGGCAGCAGUGGGGAAUAUUGGACAAUGGGCGCAAGCCUGAUCCAGCAAUGCCGCGUGAGUGAUGAAGGCCUUAGGGUUGUAAAGCUCUUUUACCCGGGAUGAUAAUGACAGUACCGGGAGAAUAAGCUCCGGCUAACUCCGUG
rnacentral:rRNA from 1 species